GAUCUCUCUAGCAAAAUCAGCUAUUUUUCAUUCAAUCUACUUGAAGAUUGAAUGAAUAGUAGCGGAUUCUGCUAGAGAGAUC